AAAAAUAUCGAGUAUGUACAAUGCGAUCUAGACUACACAAAUACCAUGUUUAUAAAAAUUCUGGUAGACUAAUAAGUCUGGUCAUUAUGGGAAUGAGACGCACCAGAGAAAUAUGCGCGACGGAUGAAGCUAGGAAUGAUGUUCUAUCCUAGUUUCAUUAGUACGCUGCAGGUAGGGGUCAUUGCGAUGGCGAGAAGAUGAGAUUAUUACAAGAACAGUCGUCAUACUGUCGACACGUACUAACAUCUUGAGUGUUUACGGUGCAGAUGACUUCUGAGCCAUCAGAGUUCAACCGUGUUGGGUGGCCAAGGACCAAGGGAAGUCACAAGAGACAAACCGAGCUCCUCCAUCUUCUGACACAAACAUGAAUACCUGAUUUCCGGCUGACGAUGCUCCAACUGGAGCAGUCUAUGCAAGACGGAGACAUAAGAGGUGU
rnacentral:lncRNA from 1 species